AGCAUGAAACAUCCAGAAGAGCUAAAGCUUCCAAACUUAUGGAGGUAUUACCACGGAGAGGGCCUUCCAUUUUUCCUCAGUUCGUUAACAAAUUACGGCGAGAUUAUUCUUGGAUUGCCGGCAAACUAGAUACAGAAUAUGAAAAGGCACAAAAAGAGAUGCCCAAGGAUAUUAACUCAAAAUUAAUAGAUGUAAUAAACAAUCAGUUAUGUCCCCUGGUUUACGGGGUCGACGAUCAAAACAGUUUGUUGCCAUCGGAAACACAUCCUGGUCAUUUAGUUAAUCAACUAUCCGACACUGUGCAUACACUUCAAUACAGGAGUUACCGAGCUCUUGGGAUAUCAACACGUGACCCAGCAACUACGUAUAUGUCACUUCCGAGACUUAUAGAUCGUAAAGUUCAUAGCUUACAAAACAGUUUUAAUGAGAUGAAAUCGUCACUUUCUGAAGAGAAAAAAAAGAACAAAACAAAUAUACCUGUAGACAAAAAAUCUACCAAAGAGGCCACUAAAAUGAAAAAAGAACUUGAAAAAAUGAAAGAGGCUAACAAAAAACUAGAUUCUUCGUUGAAAGGAAGAAAUAAAAAGAUUCAGUCUCUGUCGUGUGAGAACUUAACUUUACAAACACAAAAUCGACAGCUACGAGAUCGUGUUGAAGAACUUGAAAAAGAGGCUCUGGUCUAUCACCGAGGGGCAAUGAUCACUGAAUGGAGAAUGUAAAGGGUACCAGACUCAGUAUUAUAAAAAUAAAAUAAGCAAGCUAUCAGAAGAAAUUUAAAUGAAGGGUGUCUCAUUUUGCCUCAAGAUAGUUAGGCGUGGGUUUCACAAAAAUACAUCCGACUAAAAUUGAUCAAUUCAUUAUACUUACGAUCAAUCUCAGUCGUAAGUUUUUUUGUGAAACCGACUCCAGUAUUUUUUUUAUUUGAGCUAGGAGUGUAUCCAAAAACUCAUAUACAUUAUUUGAUCUCAUGUGUUGUUUAAAUACUGCCUCAUGUCAAAAUAUGAAUAUGAAAAUUCAUAACAAUACUACAUUAUAAUCAGUGCUUAUUCUCUGUGAGAAUGUUAAUCCAAUUUACACAUAUAUUUUUGAUAAAGAUGUUAUUAAUAUAAUCAUAAUUAUCACUGAACAUUCUUUUUCAUAUUCAGAGAACAUUGCUACAUGUGUCUUUUUUUUUCAAGUUUGG
rnacentral:lncRNA from 1 species